AUGGAAGAAGAAAUUGAUGAAACUGUGAGCUCAUUGGAUGAAAAAGAUGAGGAGGGGAGAGAAGAACAAAAGGAGGAAGAGCGGAUUGAUCACCCGUGCCCACCUUCUAAUGAGAGUAACUCUUCAACUCAUACAUUGUUUAAUUCCCCUUCGUGUUUACCGAAGGAUGAAUAUUAUGAUAAUUGCUAUGAUCCCGUCGAUUCUUUUGAAAUAUCCCUUUUUGAUGAUGCUUGCUAUGCUUGUGGCCAAGAUGCCAAUAUGAAUUAUGCUUAUGGAGAUGAACUUGCUAUAGUUCCUUAUGUUAAACAUGAAAUUGUUUCUAUUGCGCCCACGCAUGAUAGUCCUAUUAUCUUUUUGAAUUCUCCCGACUACACUAUAUCGGAGAAGUUUGCACUUAUUAAGGAUUAUAUUGAUGGGUUGCCUUUUACCAUUGCACAUGAUGAUUUUGAUGAAUAUAAUAUGCAUGUGCUUGCUGCUCCUACUUGCAAUUAUUAUGAGAGAGGAACUAUAUCUCCACCUCUCUAUGCUUCCCACAUGAUAAAAUAG
rnacentral:rRNA from 1 species